rnacentral:rRNA from 1 species
UACGUAGGGUGCAAGCGUUGUUCGGAAUCAUUGGGCGUAAAGCGCGUGUAGGCGGCUAUUUAAGUCAAGUGUGAAAUCCCUGGGCUCAACCGAGGAAGUGCAUUUGAAACUAAAUGGCUAGAGGAUGGCAGAGGAAGGUGGAAUUCCCAGUGUAGAGGUGAAAUUCGUAGAUAUUGGGAGGAAUACCGGCGGCGAAGGCGGCCUUCUGGACCAUUCCUGACGCUAAGACGCGAAAGCGUGGGGAGCAAACAGG